AUGGCGGAAACAAAACUGCACGGCGAUGUGCAUUUCUGCAACACAUCAGGUCUACAUUUUCCAUUGCCCUGGACUUAUGGCUAUCUAAUUGUAAAGAACAAGAGUAGAAAAUAUAGACAUGCGUCUUCACGGAAGAAAAAGCAACAUGAAGUUCCUAUCUGCAUCAAACUGCUUUCACUUAUAUUCUGCCGAAUUUGUUCCUUCUAUGGGACUGUACAUGGGAUUAUCUACAAGGGUUAUGUCCUCUGCAGGUAG
rnacentral:rRNA from 1 species